rnacentral:misc_RNA from 1 species
GAUGAAGAACGCAGCGAAAUGCGAUAAGUAAUGUGAAUUGCAGAAUCCAGUGAAUCAUCGAAUCUUUGAACGCACAUUGCGCCCGCCAGCAUUCUGGCGGGCAUGCCUGUUCGAGCGGCAUUUCAACCCUCGACCUCCCCUUGGGGAGGUCGGCGUUGGGGACCGGCAGCACACCGCCGGCCCUGAAAUGGAGUGGCGGCCCGUCUGCGGCGACCUCUGCGUAGUAAUACAGCUCGCACCGGAACCCCGACGCGGCCACGCCGUAAAACACCCAACUUCUGAACGUUGACCUCGAAUCAGGUAGGACUACCCGCUGAACUUAAGCAUAUCAAUAAGCGGAGGA